rnacentral:rRNA from 1 species
UACGGGGGGGGCAAGCGUUGUUCGGAAUUACUGGGCGUAAAGGGCUCGUAGGCGGCCAACUCAGUCAGACGUGAAAUCCCUCGGCUUAACCGGGGAACUGCGUCUGAUACUGGAUGGCUUGAGUUCGGGAGAGGGAUGCGGAAUUCCAGGUGUAGCGGUGAAAUGCGUAGAUAUCUGGAGGAACACCGGUGGCGAAGGCGGCAUCCUGGACCGACACUGACACUGAGGAGCGAAAGCCAGGGGAGCAAACGGG